rnacentral:rRNA from 1 species
ACGCUCGACACCUACGGGGGCAGCAGUGGGGAAUAUUGCACAAUGGGGGAAACCCUGAUGCAGCGACGCCGCGUGGAGGAAGAAGGUCUUCGGAUUGUAAACUCCUGUUGUUGGGGAAAAAGAGGAUGGUACCCAACAAGGAAGUGACGGCUAACUACGUGCCGGCAGCCGCGGUAAUCUGAGCGGGCUGGCAAGGC